UGUCUGAAACUUCUGUUGAGAUUGAUGGGAAUGCCGAUUCUGUGAUAGCUGCUUCUUAUGUUGGUCAGUUUGCAAAACUGCUGGAGAUUGGAGAUGCAUUUAUUAUGCAAUCUCUUAGUGAUGAAGAUUAUUCCCGUUAUGCUCUGGCUGAAGGAAAGAGAUUGCAGGACUCUUAUGAAAUUAUUGCUCUCCUAAAAAAAUCUUUUGAAGCAUACAACAAUGAUA
rnacentral:misc_RNA from 1 species